CAGAGAUACAUGGAGUACAGUCAGUCAGGCAGUGCUGAAUCACUGAGUCAGACACAAAGUUUUAACAGCAUCUGAAAUUUUUAGACAAUUGUUUAAAGGUGACUGAAGACACCAAUUAGGCAGCCACACAAUCAAAACUAGCAAAUCUAUAAAAUGAGAAAGGAUCAAAUACUGAAAAGGAAUAAACAUCCAAUCAGAUUUGGUACAGUUUGAAAAUUAUGGAGACAUUCAGCUCCUGUACUUCACAGCGACUGCCAAGUAUUGUAUUCAUGAUCGUGCUGGUCUUUUAUUUCUGUAACACAGGUAAAUAUCUUAAUUAUGAUUGACAGUGUACCUUUUAGAAUGAUUUGUAAUUGUGUGUUUGUUUACAUGUGCAUACACAUGCACACACUUAUGAUGAUCCACAUGCAAGUACAUUUAUGGAUAUAUUAUGUUUUAUCUACAACUUGAUUGCAAUACAAAUAAAAUUUAUGAAGGAUGUAAAUACUGAAUGUCACUGUCAUUCAACUGGACACAAAACCUUGACUUUAAUGAGUUUGUGUAAGUACUGGUACGAAGAUGUGGAUCUUUAUAUCCUACAGAUUUCUUUAAAGAAAGGUUGGCAUUUAUGUUGUGCUUUUUAUGACCAUUGGUUGUUUCGAAAAACUUCACAGUCAAUUAGGUAUUUCUGAACUGCGGUCGUUUUUGUAGUUUAGGAAAUGUAGCAAUCAGUAUGCACACAACAGACUCCUGCAACAAGCAAUCUGGUCACAUUUUUGUGUUUUUGUGAUGUUGCUUGAGGAACAUUGGCUCGGAAACUCCCUCGUUCUUUUCUGAAAAAAGAUACCAUGAUAUUCUAUCAAAUCUACCCUUUGGUUUGACAUCUUUCACCUUCUACAACACAGCACAACCUCAAUACCAGAUUGGAAUGUUUGCCUUAAUUUUUGUGCUUGGACUUUGAAAUUAAUCUUGAAGACAGAAGCCUGUGACUCCAAGGCAAGCAUACUAUAAACUAAAUCUUGGAUGACACCAUGCUCUGGGCACUCACCACACAAAAUCAUACUUUGCACAGACUUCAGCAGUUUAACAAUGCUUGUCACAAUAGUUAAAUGUGUAGGAGGCAAUUCAAAGACAAUUUACAAAGGAAAAGCUAUUCUCACUCCUAAAAGCAAAAAGAAUGAAAGGGCAUGGAUUUAAAAUAAUGUUCAAGUGAAGUAAGAUUGAUGUGAGAAAAAUCUUUUUCACACAGGAUAUGGAAAGCAUUACCUGGAAGUGUGUACAGACAUGUUCAAUUGAGGCAUUUAAGAGAGCAUUGGAUGAUUAUUUGGAUAAAAAAAUGGUGUAGGCAUAUGGGAAAGUCAGCACAUUGGCACUAAGUAAUAGAACCAGUGCAGGCAUGAUGGGCUGAAUGGCCACAUUCUGUUCUGUAACAAUUCUGAUUCUGUGAUGCUAGACUAAUAUCUGGAAUGAGAAGCUUUCUUUACAAGGUGACCUUGGAUAGGUUAGGUUGGACGCGUUGAAUAUGCUGGGCUUUAGAAAAGUAAAGGCAACUUAAUUGAAACGUGCAAGAUCCUGAGGGAUUUUUACAAGGUAAAUGUGGAGAGGAUGUGUCCUGUUAUGGGAGGGUUUAGAGCUAUGGACUACUGUUUACAAAUUAGGGGUUACAUGGAACUCUUGAUCAAAGUACAGUGGAAGCAAAGUCCUUCAAUAUUUUAAGGCACCGGUAGCUACAUUUAUAGUAAACAAGGGGUUGAAAGAUUAUCAGGGAUAGACAGGAAUGCAUUUUUAAGGUUACAGUCAGAUCAGAAAUGAUCUUGCUGAGUGGCAGAACAGGUGGGUGGGGCUAAAUGGCCUACUCUUGCUUCUAAUUCAUAAGAUUGAAUGAAAUUUGUUGCAGGCAUGAAGUAAAUAGGAAGGGAGAAGCAAUAAAAGGACCAGAUAGGAGUGCAAAGUUCAAAUAAACAUUGGAUGCAGUUGUUUUGAAAGAAGAUGGGAAGGCUCAAGAAAGGAUGAAAUGGAAUAAGAGAGUAUUUGCAAUAUCAUUAAUGAUUUACCCUCAGUCCUACUUCUAAUAUUAUUAAUGAUUUUCUUGACAGUUACAGUAUGCCUUUUCAGUUAUUAAUGUCUUUUUUUAACCUAGCUCUCGUGGACAUGUGAUUUUUUGGGUUCAAUCCCCAUAUACCUGCUGUGUUAUUAAUGAAAAUGCUGACAGAAAAAUAUCACUCAUCAUUCAAAGCAUUGUGGGGGUACCUAUCCCACAAGAACUGCAGCAGUUUCAAGAAGGCAGUUUACCUGCUCAAAGGCAAUUAAAGAUGAGCACUAAAUGCUGACCAAGUCAGUGAUACUUACAUCCAAAGAACAAAUUAUGGUGACUGGUAAACAGUGACCACAAAAUUACCAGAUCAUCAUAAAAACAUGUCGAGUUCAGUAAUAUGUUUUAGGGAAGGAAAUAAAAACAAGCAAAUUAGAAGCUAUAUAUAUAUGCAUUAAAAAUGUUCAAGAGAAUUCCAAAGCUUUGUGUCCCUCUGA